CGGAAAUCGAACCCAGGUCUCUUGCUUGUGAGAUGCUGAAGCAAACAUUAAAAAUCUUCAUUACAAAAGUUACCAGGACUGCACAUUUCUCGUGGAGUAAAGCACUAGAAUUCAUCAAAGCUCUCAAGCAAGAGAGGAGACAAAAC